UUACUACUUCCUCCGUUUCACAAUGUAAGUCAUUCUAGCAUUUCCCACAUUCAUAUUGAUGUUAAUGAAUCUAGAUAUCUAGAUUCAUUAACAUCAAUAUGAAUGUGGGAAAUGCUAGAAUGACUUACAUUGUGAAACGG
rnacentral:misc_RNA from 1 species